AUUGAACGCUGGCGGCAUGCUUUACACAUGCAAGUCGAACGGUAACAGGUCUUCGGAUGCUGACGAGUGGCGAACGGGUGAGUAAUACAUCGGAACGUGCCUAGUAGUGGGGGAUAACUACUCGAAAGAGUAGCUAAUACCGCAUGAGAUCUACGGAUGAAAGCAGGGGACCUUCGGGACUUGUGCUACUAGAGCGGCUGAUGGCAGAUUAGGUAGUUGGUGGGGUAAAGGCUUACCAAGCCUGCGAUCUGUAGCUGGUCUGAGAGGACGACCAGCCCAACGGGGACUGAGAGACGGCCCAGUAUCCUACGGGAGGCAGCAUUGGGGAAUUUUGGACAAUGGGCGAAAGCCUGUUCCAGCAAUUCCGCGUGCAGGAUGAAGGCCCUCGGGUUGUAAACUGCUUUUGUACGGAACGAAAAGCCUGGGGCUAAUAUCCCCGGGUCAUGACGGUACCGUAAGAAUAAGCACCGGCUAACUACGUGCCAGCCACCGCCGCCG
rnacentral:rRNA from 1 species